rnacentral:rRNA from 1 species
CCUACGGGCGGCUGCAGUGGGGAAUAUUGGACAAUGGGGGGAACCCUGAUCCAGCCAUGCCGCGUGUGUGAAGAAGGCCCUCGGGUUGUAAAGCACUUUCAGUGAGGAAGAACGCCUGGUGGUUAAUACCCAUCAGGAAAGACAUCACUCACAGAAGAAGCACCGGCUAACUCCGUGCCAGCAGCCGCGGUAAUACGGAGGGUGCGAGCGUUAAUCGGAAUUACUGGGCGUAAAGCGCGCGUAGGUGGCUUGAUAAGCCGGUUGUGAAAGCCCCGGGCUCAACCUGGGAACGGCAUCCGGAACUGUCAAGCUAGAGUGCAGGAGAGGAAGGUAGAAUUCCCGGUGUAGCGGUGAAAUGCGUAGAGAUCGGGAGGAAUACCAGUGGCGAAGGCGGCCUUCUGGACUGACACUGACACUGAGGUGCGAAAGUGUGGGUAGCAAACAGGAUUAGAUACCCGUGUAGUC